CCUACGGGAGGCAGCAGUGGGGAAUAUUGCACAAUGGGCGCAAGCCUGAUGCAGCAACGCCGCGUGAGGGACGACGGCCUUCGGGUUGUAAACCUCUUUUAGUAGGGAAGAAGCGAAAGUGACGGUACCUGCAGAAAAAGCACCGGCUAACUACGUGCCAGCAGCCACGGUAAUACGUAGGGUGCAAGCGUUAUCCGGAAUUAUUGGGCGUAAAGAGCUCGUAGGCGGUUUGUCGCGUCUGCUGUGAAAACUGGAGGCUCAACCUCCAGCCUGCAGUGGGUACGGGCAGACUAGAGUGCGGUAGGGGAGAUUGGAAUUCCUGGUGUAGCGGUGGAAUGCGCAGAUAUCAGGAGGAACACCGAUGGCGAAGGCAGAUCUCUGGGCCGUAACUGACGCUGAGGAGCGAAAGCAUGGGGAGCGAACAGGAUUAGAUACCCUGGUAGUCCAUGCCGUAAACGUUGGGAACUAGAUGUAGGGACCAUUCCACGGUUUCUGUGUCGCAGCUAACGCAUUAAGUUCCCCGCCUGGGGAUACGGCCGCAAGGCUAAAACUCAAAGGAAUUGACGG
rnacentral:rRNA from 1 species